AUAAUUAUUGUUUACUCAUCCAUAAAAGAGUUUGCGAUUAUGAUUAAUCUUCAAGCCUUCAAUAACGAUGUUAUUAAUUGUCUCCUUUUCUUUUUGCGGUCACAUAUUCGUGUGCUCGAAACCACACAACAGAAUAUAGCCGCAUUGCUGAUGGGUCUUGAAUAUCUAAUAAACAUCUCAUAUGUGGAUGGCACUAAAAAUUUUAAGGUAUGAUUAAUUAUGAUGAGCUCUCUAGCACCCACCCGAAGGCCCUAUUAGCUCUUUCUCUCUCUCUCUUCCCAUUUGAACAGAUGAAGUGAUAAUUUGACUUGGUCCUACAUCAAAUCAUCAAUGGCAGAAGCAACAAAGAGAUUUGCAGUUGUUACAGGUACAAACAAAGGGAUUGGAUUAGAAACUGUCAAGCAAUUGGCCUCCAAAGCAAGGCUAUUUGAAGGCCUUGGACUUUCAGGUGAACAAUGCAGGGAUUGGUGGAGUCAAACUAGAUGCUGAUGCUUUUAUAGCUACAGAAUAUUCUGGUGGUGGGGUAAGUCUUGCACUUUUCUUUUUUGUUCCACCACACACAUUAAGGUGAUGCACUUUGAGAAAGGAAGCUUCUAAUGUCGACCAUAUAUGCUUCUGUUUACUUCAUCUUGAUACUAUUAGCAUACCUUAUGGCUCCUAAAACCAUGUUUAGUUUGUCUU